GAAGCGGUAACAGCUCAAAUUUGAAAGCUAGCUCUUUUAGGGUUCGCAUUGUAAUUUGUAGAAGAUGCUUCGGGUGUGGCCCCGGUCUAAGUUCCUUGGAACAGGACGUCAUAGAGGGUGAGAAUCCCGUAUGUGACUGGGUGCUUUCGCUCAUGUGAAGCUCUUUCGACGAGUCGAGUUGUUUGGGAAUGCAGCUCAAAAUGGGUGGUAAAUUUCAUCUAAAGCUAAAUAUUGGCCAGAGACCGAUAGCGCACAAGUAGAGUGAUCGAAAGAUGAAAAGCACUUUGGAAAGAGAGUUAAACAGUACGUGAAAUUGUUGAAAGGGAAGCGCUUGCAACCAGACUUGCGCGCUGAUGAUCAUCCGGGCUUCUGUCCGGUGCACUCGUCUGCGCUCAGGCCAGCAUCGGUUUCGGUGGUGGGAUAAAGGCCUUGGGAAUGUAGCUCCUCUCGGGGAGUGUUAUAGCCCUCGGUGCAAUGCCGCCUAUCGGGACCGAGGACCGCGCUUCGGCUAGGAUGCUGGCGUAAUGGUUGUAAGCGACCCGUCUUGAAACACGGACCAAGGAGUCUAACAUCUAUGCGAGUGUUUGGGUGUCAAACCCAUACGCGUAAUGAAAGUGAACGGAGGUGAGAACCCUUAAGGGUGCAUCAUCGACCGGUCCUGAUGUCUUCGGAUGGAUCUGAGUAAGAGCAUAGCUGUUGGGACCCGAAAGAUGGUGAACUAUGCGUGAAUAGGGUGAAGCCAGAGGAAACUCUGGUGGAGGCUCGCAGCGGUUCUGACGUGCAAAUCGAUCGU
rnacentral:rRNA from 1 species